GCCUUGGAAAAAGAGACUGCACUCUCUGGAUUCCCUCUCAGGAGUGGAACAUUGCUAAAAUUCAGACUUUCCAUGAGCAGCGUUUGGGUGUGUGCAGCUGUCAGCACAUGAGACUAGCAAUGGAAUAUCCAGCUAAAUAUACUACCAGGAAACAAGCUUGGAGUGGAAGGGCCAAACCACUGUGAACAAGGUCAGUUUUUGUGGUCGUUCUAGCCUGAAUAAAAGCAAGAAGCAUGCAUCAUAACUAUUCCAAGGAGAUGGCAAAGGAGAGAUUGCCGCUCCAGUUCUAGAGAAGCAAGAAGUUUGGCUCAAAGUUCAAGUGCCACAUCCUCCUCUUAAGAUGGACAAGGUUUCUGUCUUCAAGGAGCUCAAAGAGAGAAAAUGAAAACAGGAGGCCUGAUAAACAGACACUGCACUUCUCUUUGACAAGGGCUAGAGAAAAUAUUAUUGGGAAAGGAAAGUUGACUGGGAUUCAGCCUGAAGGCAGCUCUGUGCUUCUUUGUGUACAUUGUAUUUGAACAGUGGGCAAAUUCACUUGCCAUGACUGGAGCCAAAUUUUAGAGGCAGUGUUCUCCUCUGGGAGCACAAGACUGAGGGUAUGUCUACAC